rnacentral:rRNA from 1 species
GAUUGAACGCUGGCGGCAGGCCUAACACAUGCAAGUCGAGCGGUAACAGGGGGUGCUUGCACCCCGCUGACGAGCGGCGGACGGGUGAGUAAUGCAUAGGAAUCUGCCCGAUAGUGGGGGAUAACCUGGGGAAACCCAGGCUAAUACCGCAUACGUCCUACGGGAGAAAGGGGGCUCCGGCUCCCGCUAUCGGAUGAGCCUAUGUCGGAUUAGCUGGUUGGUGAGGUAAAGGCUCACCAAGGCGACGAUCCGUAGCUGGUCUGAGAGGAUGAUCAGCCACAUCGGGACUGAGACACGGCCCGAACUCCUACGGGAGGCAGCAGUGGGGAAUAUUGGACAAUGGGGGCAACCCUGAUCCAGCCAUGCCGCGUGUGUGAAGAAGGCCCUCGGGUUGUAAAGCACUUUCAGUGAGGAAGAACGCCUGGUGGUUAAUACCCAUCAGGAAAGACAUCACUCACAGAAGAAGCACCGGCUAACUCCGUGCCAGCAGCCGCGGUAAUACGGAGGGUGCGAGCGUUAAUCGGAAUUACUGGGCGUAAAGCGCGCGUAGGUGGCUUGAUAAGCCGGUUGUGAAAGCCCCGGGCUCAACCUGGGAACGGCAUCCGGAACUGUCAAGCUAGAGUGCAGGAGAGGAAGGUAGAAUUCCCGGUGUAGCGGUGAAAUGCGUAGAGAUCGGGAGGAAUACCAGUGGCGAAGGCGGCCUUCUGGACUGACACUGACACUGAGGUGCGAAAGCGUGGGUAGCAAACAGGAUUAGAUACCCUGGUAGUCCACGCCGUAAACGAUGUCGACCAGCCGUUGGGUGCCUAGCGCACUUUGUGGCGAAAGUUAACGCGAUAAGUCGACCCG